rnacentral:rRNA from 1 species
GACGAACCGAGCGACCGUUAUUCGGAAUCACUGGGCUUAAAGGGCGCGUAGGCGGGCGAUCAAGUCAGGGGUGAAAGCCCCCAGCUCAACUGGGGAAGUGCCUCUGAUACUGGUCGUCUCGAGGGGGAUAGGGGCGUGCGGAACUUCCGGUGGAGCGGUGAAAUGCGUAGAUAUCGGAAGGAACACCGGUGGCGAAAGCGGCGCGCUGGAUCCCUUCUGACGCUGAGGCGCGAAAGCCAGGGGAGCGAACGGG